CGGGCAGGUGCAGGAGCUCGCUCCCUCCCCCCACCCGCAGGGAGACGAGCCAGCGCAGCCUGCCGGCCGGGCGCCCCCGACUCUCGUGAGUGACCCCAUCCUGAAUGUGCCGGUGCGGCCUCCGCGCUGGGAUAGCGCAGACCUGCCGGGGUUAGCCCGUUCGGGGCGGCAAGGGGCCACCGCGUCAGUGAGAGACCCUGCCCUCUCUGCCUCGACCGCCGGUGUAGCAGCCCAAACUCAAACUGCUCCCUGGCAGAAUUUCCUGUACCACUACACCGGCGCUGCGGUUAGUGAGUCGCAAAGGAUGACAGCUGGAAAGAUCUAAGAAAGGACGAAAGACACCGGGGGGAAGAUGAGCCCUGUCUGGAAAAGGGAUCUGGUCUCUGAAUAUGGUGUCUGAAGAUUUAAGCUGCAAGCAGGGUAGCUAACCUGCAUUCUGCCCAAAAGCAACAUUUAGGCUGGGUGUUUACCUACCUGUGUGUAUGCUGGAGAAAGCUUGAGGGCCUGGCCCAGCUAAGACAGG